rnacentral:lncRNA from 10 species
AACCAAUAAAAAUAAGGCCUCACUGAAGACAAUAAGUAAUUUGUCUAUUUAAUUAACCAACUCAACCUAAAACCAAUAUAAAAUGUUUCAAGACUAAGCAUUUAAUGUUCACCAAGUCGUCACAUUGUUGUGCGGUCAUCACCACCAUCCAUCUCUAGAACUAUUUUCAUCUUGCAAAACUGAAACCUAUUCCCAUUAAACAAUAACUCCCCAUUCUCCCCUCUGACCCAGUCCCUGGUAACUACCAUCUACUUUCUUUUUCUGUUAACAAAGUGCUGGGAUUACAGGCGUGAGCCACUGCACCCAGACACAAGCCCCUAUCUUUAAACACACACACACACACACACACACACACACACACCCCUUCUCUUUUGGUUUCUAUGAUACCAUACUCCCCUCAUUUUUGUCUCCUCUUUGGGCAGCUCCUCUUCAUCUCGAAUAGUUUAUCUUCAAUUAAACCUUCAGGUGUUAAAGAUUCUGAAAGCUGACUCCUAAGCCCUCUUUUUUUUUAAUACUCUAUUCUCUCUUUUAAGUGAUGAUAUUCCCACCCAUGGGGUGGGUUGGAGAAGCCAGGACCUGCAUGAAUACAGCUAACCAUAAUCCUUUGUAUGGAGUCUGGAAGAAACCUAAUGGCUGGCUGGGAACGGGAUUUUUUUUUUUUUUUAAACAGCAUCUCACUGUCAUCCUGGCUGGAGUGCAGUGGCAUGAUCUCAGCUUACUGCAACCUCUGCCUCCUGGUUCAAGUGAUUCUCCUGCCUCAGCCUCCUGACUAGCUGAAAUUACGGGGAUGCACCCUCACAUCUGGCUAAUUUUUGUAUUUUUAGUAGAGAUGGGGUUUCACCAUGUUGGCCAGACUGGUCUGGAACUCCUGGGCUCAAGUGAUCCAUCUGCCUCAGCCUCCCAAAGUACUGGGAUUACAGGCGUGAGCCACUGUGCCCAGCCUCUUUUUUUUUUUUUUUUUUUUUUUUUCCAGUUUUUAAAAAUUGUGAUAAAAUACACAUAACAUGAAAUGUACCAUCUUAACCAUCUUUAAAUGUACAGUUCAGUGGCAUUAAAUACAUUCAGAUGAUUGAGCAACUAUUACCAACAUAUCCACAUCUCUUUUCAUCUUGUAAAACAGAAACUCUGUACUCACUAAGUAAUAACUCCUCAUUCCCCCCUCCAGCUCCUGACAAGCACCAUUCUACUUUCUGUCUCUAUGAUUUGACUACUUUAAGUACAUCAUUUGAGUGGAAUCAUACAGUAUUUGUCUUUUUUUUUUUUUUGGACUGGCUUAUUUCACUUAGCAUAAUGUCCUUAAGUUUCAUCCAUGUGGUAGCAGGUGUCAGGAUUACCUUCAAGUGAAGAUUCCUGAAUCCAGUCUGUUAUCUGUCCUGUGUUCCUCACACUCUGCUGUCCCAGAAGGAGAUCUGACAAGCAUGACCAGAGUAAAGAGGAGUGAGGGAGCACACAGGUCUGAGAUGGAACAAGUUAACUUCAUUUGAAUACUCUGAAAAUUGACUGCUGGAAAAUGUCCCCCAACGUCAUGUCAUUAGAAACCCUGGGGUGCAAAUAUUUUCUCAAGAGCGAUCCACAGACUCCAUAUGCUGUUCUAUGGAAGCUGAGUGGAGCCUUGGCCAUUUUGACUCUAACUCCAGUCUCCUAUCUGCAGUGACCUUCACCUCCACUAAUUUCACCUACAUUUUAAGCUGGAGUAGUGAGUCUACCCUACUCCAGCUCCAAAAACUCAAAUUCAAAUCUCAUUCUCAGCAAGAACCCCUUAUUCAUUCAUUGUUCUCACUCAAGUUACUCCCAUUUCAUUUGCUUUUUAUUUUUGUUUUUUAACCUCAUUGAGCCUUCCAUCCCUAAGUACUUCUAUCCCUAAGUACUUCCAUCUGAGAGGAGUGCUUACAUCCCUACUCCUGUUAGACUCCAUGGUCCACCCAUUCAUCCACUCUCUUGCUGGUGCUCUCAACUGCUUUAUCCCAUUGGGUAUUCUGCCAAACCCAUCUAACAAAAGCCCAGCCCUGGAUCAGUCCAAGUGUUUACCCCUUGUGAGCCUACAGCCAGGCUUCCUAAUGCUGCUAGAAGAAACCUCACGCCUCCACAAGCUAAUGCUGCUAAAAGAUGGCCUGUUCCCUAACUGGGUCCAUAGGUCUGUCCAGUAAUCCUCACAGGCUUCACCUCCUUUCUCUUCCCCAAUCUGCAACCUUGGCUUUUUAAAACUUUCCCUUUCUUUCUAAAACUUUUAUUUUUCCGUCUACUUCAUUGAACAAGUAGAUGCCAUCAUAAGAGAACUUCCUCAAUUUUCUGUUACUGUAUCUAAAAACUAUCCUAAAUCCACGCCAAGCUUUUUGUCUGCCCUUUGGUAACAAUAGAAGAGGUAUACUGCUUCCUUCUAAAGCUAAUCCUUCCAUUUUUACUCUGACUCCCUUCCCUGUCCUUAGGGCUGCCUGCCCUUAGCAUUUAACCAAAACAUUCAAAUCUUUCCCAUCUUUGAAGAAAACUCUACUUCAUAUCCCCCUCUAGCUGCAUCUUUUUCUUUCUCACUGUCUCUGGGUCUUCUAUUUUCUCCUUAACCCAUUGCAUUUCUGCCCUCACCAGUCCACUGAGACCCUCACCAAUUCAAGGCUUCCUUUUCAGUCCUAGUCUUCCUUGACCUCACAGCAACAUUUGGCCCCUCUCUAUCCUCUCUUGGUUCCAACCAUCCUGAACACCUUUCAGUUUUCUAAAUGUGAUGACUCUUUUGCUUUCAGGCUUUUGCAGAUGCUUUUCUUUCUGCCUGGACUACUCUUCGUCCAGUCCCCACCUUCUUUGCCCAGCUAACUCAGGUCCCACCCCUACAUCACUGCUUCUAGGAAACAUUCUUUGAUGUUAACUACCUACUGCCUGUAAAAGAUGGGUUGGGUGCCCCUUCUUUAUAUUUGCAUGAUUUAACCAUGUCAUGGGGUCAGCAAACUUUUCUUGUAAAGGACCAGAUAGUAAAUACAGUUGACCCUGUAGAUCUGCAGGUUCUGAGUCUUCAGGUUCAACCAACUCUAGAUUGAAAGUACAAUAUUCAAGGGAAGUGGAACCAAGGCCAUAGCCACAGAUUUUGGUAGCUGCAAACAGGGGAGUUGGUCCUGGAACCAAUCUCCCGAGAAUACCGAGGGACAACUGUACUUUUGACUGUAGGUCAGUAGGCAAAAUCAAGAUUAUUGUAAAAGUAUGUGUACAACAAGAAGGAAGCAAACUUCACAAAAUUUUAUUGUUGCAAUCUAAAACAUAAUACCAUAUAAUUUUUUUGUAAUACAGGUCUACUAAUGAGAAGAACAGAAUUGGUUUUGGGGGAGUAACAUUUCAUUUCAUCGGAGUUCAAGUUAGCAUUCCUAGUCAUCAGAAUCAGUUGUGGAUGUUCAUCUGUUAAUGCUGAUCUGUAAUGAGAUUUUUAUGUAUUAUACUGAGUUCAUUUUUUUAUAUGCAUAUCACAAUUCUGUGUGAUAUGAAAGGGAAAUAAGUGAAAUAUAAGGAACGCGUAACUCCUGUUCUC